CUACUUUGCUGACGAGCGGCGGACGGGUGAGUAAUGCUUGGGAACAUGCCUUGAGGUGGGGGACAACAGUUGGAAACGACUGCUAAUACCGCAUAAUGUCUACGGACCAAAGGGGGCUUCGGCUCUCGCCUUUAGAUUGGCCCAAGUGGGAUUAGCUAGUUGGUGAGGUAAUGGCUCACCAAGGCGACGAUCCCUAGCUGGUUUGAGAGGAUGAUCAGCCACACUGGGACUGAGACACGGCCCAGACUCCUACGGGAGGCAGCAGUGGGGAAUAUUGCACAAUGGGCGCAAGCCUGAUGCAGCCAUGCCGCGUGUGUGAAGAAGGCCUUCGGGUUGUAAAGCACUUUCAGUCAGGAGGAAAGGUUAGUNGUUAAUACCUGNUAGCUGUGACGUUACUGACAGAAGAAGCACCGGCUAACUCCGUGCCAGCAGCCGCGGUAAUACGGAGGGUGCGAGCGUUAAUCGGAAUUACUGGGCGUAAAGCGUACGCAGGCGGUUUGUUAAGCGAGAUGUGAAAGCCCCGGGCUCAACCUGGGAACUGCAUUUCGAACUGGCAAACU
rnacentral:rRNA from 1 species